AUUCUGGCUGGAAAGGAUUUGAUGGAAGCUGUUAUUAUAUUGUUACAACUGAGAAGAACUGGACAGAGGCCCGGGGCUUUUGUAAAUCAAUGAACAGUGACCUGGUUAUUAUCAAGAGUGAGAGGGAACAGAUAUUCCUUGAAAAUAUUACUGACAGAUCAUUCUUUUGGAUCGGCCUCACAAGGGAUAAGGAUGAUAAAAAUGUGUUGAGAUGGGUGGAUGGAACACUCCAUAAUUUAUCAGAUGGAUUCUGGGCCAAUAAUCAGCCAAAUAAUAAUUAUGGAAGUCAAGACUGUGUUCUACUGUGGC